rnacentral:rRNA from 1 species
AGUGAACGCUGGCGGUAGGCCUAACACAUGCAAGUCGAACGGCAGCACAGUAAUUUCUUGCUCUUACGGGUGGCGAGUGGCGGACGUGUGAGGAAUACAUCGGCAUCUACUUUUUCGUGUGGGUUAACGUAGGGAAACUUACGCUAAUACCGCAUACGUCCUACGGGUGAAAGCAUGGGAUCUUCUGACCUUUCGCGAUUGAAUUAGCCGAUGUCGGAUUAGCUUGUUGGCGGGGUAAAGGCCCACCAAGGCGACGAUCCGUAGAUGGUCUGAGAGGAGGAUAAGCGACACGGGAAGGGAGACAGGGACCAGAGACCUACGGGAGGGAGCAGAGGGGAAUAUUGGGCAAUGGGGGGAAGCAUGAUACAGCGAUACCGAGUGGGUGAAGAAGGCGUUGGGGUUGUAAAGACGUUUUGUUGGGAAAGAAAAGCAGCAGGUUAAUACGAAGCGGUAGUGACGGUAACGAAAGAAUAAGCACCGGCUAACUACGUG